GGGCGGGAAGUGGCAGUUCUUGUGGUGCGGGGAUGCGGCCACAUGAUGGCGCUGUCGGAAACGGCCUGAGAGAUGAAGCGCUGCAGGUGCUGCCGCCUUUUUGUGGGUGGGCCAAGGACUGGCCUGAGUCCUGCUAAAUAACCCGUUUUGGCUGAACCUCUUGUCCGUUAAAAAGUGCUACUGAGACUGUCUAAGGCUUCAUGUUGCAUCAUGACUCAGCAGAAGGAACCAGUCUGAAUUGGAAAGGGAGAGGUUCCCAGAGCUCAACAAACAUAUUUCCAAUUCCAGAGAUCCUCAACCAGUAUUCCCCCAUUUUAAACUUCAUAAUCAGACAACGCACAGUAUCAUCACUCCCCAGUGGUUCUCAUUCUCAGAAGAUAGUCCACAGUCAAAGAAGCCAAAGACCCCGUCUGUGACAUCAGCAUAUGCCCAGACUUUGAUCUGCAGGACUCACCCUCCUCAGCUGCUAAAGCCAUCUCCUUGACUGAAUGAAGAAGCACAAGUCUCCCCAAGUCUGCUCAACCAUCUGGUGUGCUGAGAACUGAGGGUCAACAAUUGCUGCCCAUCAUCAUAAGGUGGACACCGCCAAGUCUGCAGGAAGAAGAGCUCCUGCUUUGUUCCUAGGUUUCCACCAAGGACAGCACAUUAUCAUCAGGUGUCCCUCCUUGGAGAUACUUAAUGCCCAGCUGGACAUGGUCCUGAACAAACUGCUCUAGCUGACCCUGCUUGAGUUGGCUGGAUGAGACAGCAUCCAGAGGUCCCUUUCCACCUCAGCCAUUCCGUGAUUCUACUUACAGAAAUUGCUUCACUAAAACUGACAGUUUUUCUUGAUGUGUUUCCUGAGGGCACAACCGCCCACCUUUCUGGUUCUGCCCAGUUUUGUCAUGACACAUUACAGAGUACUCAGCAACUAUUUUAAGUUGAGGAAAAAUCACUUUCUUCAUAGAUUAGUCUGUUUAGUUAACCAGUAGCCAAGUAAAUUAUACACAACUCAGAGGAAUAACUGAACUUACCCCCAGAACAAGUGUAUAUAUUGCUUUGGAUGAAACAGUAGCGUAAGAAGGACUGGGCUGCUCAUUUAAACUCUUUCUGUAUUUUGUCUUCCUCUGCCUUGUUCACCUCCUUGUCUUCCCACUAUAAUAAAUAAAUAAAUAAAUAAAUAAUCAGCAUUAAAUUAUGUCCA